AACGAACGCUGGCGGCAGGCUUAACACAUGCAAGUCGAACGCCCCGCAAGGGGAGUGGCAGACGGGUGAGUAACGCGUGGGAACAUACCCUUUCCUGCGGAAUAGCUCCGGGAAACUGGAAUUAAUACCGCAUACGCCCUACGGGGGAAAGAUUUAUCGGGGAAGGAUUGGCCCGCGUUGGAUUAGCUAGUUGGUGGGGUAAAGGCCUACCAAGGCGACGAUCCAUAGCUGGUCUGAGAGGAUGAUCAGCCACAUUGGGACUGAGACACGGCCCAAACUCCUACGGGAGGCAGCAGUGGGGAAUAUUGGACAAUGGGCGCAAGCAUGAUCCAGCCAUGCCGCGUGAGUGAUGAAGGCCUUAGGGUUGUAAAGCUCUUUCACCGAUGAAGAUAAUGACGGUAGUCGGAGAAGAAGCCCCGGCUAACUUCGUG
rnacentral:rRNA from 1 species